rnacentral:tRNA from 1 species
ACUUUUUUGUGCAAAGGUAGCAUACCUCAUAUUUGAGGAGAUGAAGGUUCAAAUCCUUCUAAAAGCU